rnacentral:rRNA from 1 species
GAACCAUACCAAACUGUUGCCUCGGCGGGGUCACGCCCCGGGUGCGUCGCAGCCCCGGAACCAGGCGCCCGCCGGAGGGACCAACCAAACUCUUUUCUGUAGUCCCCUCGCGGACGUUAUUUCUUACAGCUCUGAGCAAAAAUUCAAAAUGAAUCAAAACUUUCAACAACGGAUCUCUUGGUUCUGGCAUCGAUGAAGAACGCAGCGAAAUGCGAUAAGUAAUGUGAAUUGCAGAAUUCAGUGAAUCAUCGAAUCUUUGAACGCACAUUGCGCCCGCCAGUAUUCUGGCGGGCAUGCCUGUCCGAGCGUCAUUUCAACCCUCGAACCCCUCCGGGGGGUCGGCGUUGGGGACCUCGGGAGCCCCUAAGACGGGAUCCCGGCCCCGAAAUACAGUGGCGGUCUCGCCGCAGCCUCUCCUGCGCAGUAGUUUGCACAACUCGCACCGGGAGCGCGGCGCGUCCACGUCCGUAAAACACCCAACUUCUGAAAUGUUGACCUCGGAUCAGGUAGGAAUACCCGCUGAACUUAAGCAUAUCAAUAAGCGGAGGAA